UACGGAGGGGGCUAGCGUUGUUCGGAAUUACUGGGCGUAAAGCGCACGUAGGCGGACUGUUAAGUCGGGGGUGAAAGCCCAGGGCUCAACCCUGGAAUGGCCUUCGAUACUGGCAGUCUUGAGAUCGGGAGAGGAGAGUGGAAUUCCUAGUGUAGAGGUGAAAUGCGUAGAUAUUAGGAAGAAUACCAGUGGCGAAGGCGGCUAACUGGCCCGAUUCUGACGCUGAGGUGCGAAAGCGUGGGGAGCAAACAGG
rnacentral:rRNA from 1 species